rnacentral:rRNA from 1 species
UUAAGUCGACCGCCUGGGGAGUACGGCCGCAAGGUUAAAACUCAAAUGAAUUGACGGGGGCCCGCACAAGCGGUGGAGCAUGUGGUUUAAUUCGAUGCAACGCGAAGAACCUUACCUGGUCUUGACAUCCACGGAAGUUUUCAGAGAUGAGAAUGUGCCUUCGGGAACCGUGAGACAGGUGCUGCAUGGCUGUCGUCAGCUCGUGUUGUGAAAUGUUGGGUUAAGUCCCGCAACGAGCGCAACCCUUAUCCUUUGUUGCCAGCGGUCCGGCCGGGAACUCAAAGGAGACUGCCAGUGAUAAACUGGAGGAAGGUGGGGAUGACGUCAAGUCAUCAUGGCCCUUACGACCAGGGCUACACACGUGCUACAAUGGCGCAUACAAAGAGAAGCGACCUCGCGAGAGCAAGCGGACCUCAUAAAGUGCGUCGUAGUCCGGAUUGGA